UCUUGUCAGAACCUCCAGGCCAGUUUCAGCAACGUGCAGGCAGAAGCUGGCCCCUCGGUGGGAUGCGAGGGCGUGUGGAGCGCGGGGAGGAGAGCCCCACAGGCCUUUCCUGGGCACCCGCGGUGGAUGGGAAGGCUCCUUCGGGCGCCUUUCAGGGAAGUUGUUUGGCUGAGGGAAGGUGGUCCGUCACGUGAAUGUUUAAAAGUUGUUACCUUGGAGAAGAAAUGGAGGAAAGGAUUGGCUUUCGGAGGUGGGCUGGAAACUACAAAACCGAGCUUCCUGGGAAUGCCUUUUAGGCCGACAGGAAGUGGAGCGUCACCGAAAGGGAGGGGCGGCCACUCGGGGACUGUCCCUUGCUCCAGGCGCUCACUUUGCGGGCGGCACUUUUUCCAGGUUGUUAAUCCAGCUAAUGGAGAAGGAUAGAUGCACGCUACUUGGUUUAGAAAAAAAAACAAAAAUGAGCAAACGAGACGCCCCUUCCGUUUUAUGAUAACUAAGCUGCAGGGAAAUAAAUCGGCUGGCCCUACUGCAAUCUACUGCACUCGAGUGACAAGUGAGCCUGCUUCUGUCAAUUACUGAAGCUAUAAGGAGAUUUUUUAAAAAUUAAACUUCAACACAAUGAGGUAAAAUUGGGGGAUUAGGAGCUAUCUGAAAGGAAAUGUCUGUGAUGGAUACAGGGGAUAAACUCCUACUUAAAAGAAUACAUGAGAAGGAAGCAGUCACUCAUGAGUGUCUUCAACGGUGUAUAUUUAUAGUGUUGCCACAUCUGCAAACUUCCUGGGAGAGUAAUGGGGAUUCGAGUGCUUCGAUUAUCUUUGGUGGUCAUCCUCGUAUUAUUACUGGUAGCUGGUGCUUUGACUGCCUUACUUCCCAGUGUUAAAGAAGACAAGAUGCUCAUGUUGCGUAGGGAAAUAAAAUCCCAGGGCAAGUCCACCAUGGACUCCUUUACUCUCAUAAUGCAGACGUACAACAGAACAGAUCUCUUAUUGAAACUUUUAAAUCAUUAUCAGGCUGUACCAAAUCUGCACAAAGUGAUUGUGGUAUGGAACAAUAUUGGAGAGAAGGCACCAGAUGAAUUAUGGAAUUCUCUAGGGCCCCACCCUAUCCCUGUGAUCUUCAAACAACAGACAGCAAACAGGAUGAGAAAUCGACUCCAGGUCUUUCCUGAACUGGAAACCAAUGCAGUGUUGAUGGUAGAUGAUGACACACUCAUCAGCACCCCAGACCUUGUUUUUGCUUUCUCAGUUUGGCAGCAAUUUCCUGAUCAAAUUGUAGGAUUUGUUCCUAGAAAGCACGUCUCUACUUCAUCAGGUAUCUACAGUUAUGGAAGUUUUGAAAUGCAAGCACCAGGGUCUGGAAAUGGUGACCAGUACUCUAUGGUGCUGAUUGGAGCCUCAUUCUUCAAUAGCAAAUAUCUUGAAUUAUUUCAGAGGCAACCUGCAGCUGUCCAUGCUUUGAUAGAUGAUACUCAAAACUGUGAUGAUAUUGCCAUGAAUUUUAUCAUUGCCAAGCAUAUUGGCAAGACUUCAGGGAUAUUUGUGAAGCCUGUAAACAUGGACAAUUUGGAAAAAGAAACCAACAGUGGCUAUUCUGGAAUGUGGCAUCGAGCUGAGCACGCUCUGCAGAGGUCUUAUUGUAUAAAUAAGCUUGUUAAUAUCUAUGAUAGCAUGCCCUUAAGAUACUCCAACAUUAUGAUUUCCCAGUUUGGUUUUCCAUAUGCCAACUACAAAAGAAAAAUAUAAAAGUAAAACAAACAAAAACAAACCUGAAAACUGCUUGGCAUUUGAGUAGCUUCUCCAUGCUAUGUAUUUUUUUAAGCAACAUCAUGAAUUUUAUCUACUCCAGAAGUCUCUACAAUAGAAAAAAAAGUGCAGUGCUUCUAGGAUAUAAAAUUCACAUUACUUUUGAAAGCCAAGAAGUUGGUCUUAUCCAGUUAGGUCUUCUUAUGAAGAGUUUUCAUCCAGGGAUAUAACUCCUUGGUCAGUGAUUUUAUUGUUUACAUCCUGAGACUGUUCUACAGUUUCUUUGACUCCUGGCAUUUGCCUUAAGGACCUAUAGCAAGCUGUUUCUAGGAUCAGAAACUCAAGAGAGGCAUUUCUCUGCUUUUUCACUAAAGGUCAGUUGUUUUAAUUUGAAACCUGAAAUGCCUCUUUAGCAAAAGCCUGUGGUAUGGGGUAAAGCCAUGUAAGAAGAGAAUAGUCUCAGUCACAUAUGAAGAGGAAAAUUUGCAGCUGCCAGUGCUUUCCUUGUGGCCCUGCCAACCAGCUCUUCCAGGACGAACUCAGUCCAGCAUGGUUUUGAUGUAACCAUCCAUGCUUUUAUUUUUGUUAAGUCUUUUGUGACUGGGACAGUUAAUUUUAGUAGCUGAAGAACGUCUAGUUGUUUGCUUGAUAUUUGUGAACAUUUACUGCAUGGAUCACAAAACAAUAUACCCUGUAUUUCUUACACGCCACUUAUAUGCAGCAAGGAGUAAAUGUGUUACUAGAUUCGGGUAGUGCAUUUUGUCACUGAAUCUGACCUUGAGAAUGUACAUUAAUUCUUAUAUUUUACAUAAUGUAUGUGUUGUUUAAGAAAUGUAUAAAAAACCUGAAAAAAAUGAGUAAGAACUGGCAGAAGUUAAAACCCUUUGUAUCAAAAGAUCUUUAUUGGUAGAGCACUGGUUAUCUUCUGGAUACUAAAAAGUUGUAUUACAAAGCCAAACACUUGCAUUCACAACUUUAAAAAAAGAUCCAAGGAACUAUUCAUAAUGAUGAAAUUUCAACUACAUACAAGGAGGAGAAAAUAAGAACCCAGUCAUAACAGAGGAAUUCUAUAGGAGUCUGCAUCAAUUCAUUCUUAAGGUUGCCUACUCUCUGUUAUGUGAAUUAGCGUCUGUGUUUCACCCAUUGUCUGUGUUUAGUCCUUGUUCACCACUAAGGCAAGGAAUUCUUAACUAGGCCUCUGUUUACCAACUUCUCUUUCUCCUCCUUUCCCUCUUAUUCCUCCUUCUCCUCUUCCUUCUUAUAUAAUGCUAGUAUAUUCUCAAAAUUGCAAAGCUGUGAGAAUAUUAAAAUAAUCAUGGCUAAUGUUCCAAUAAUGAGGUCUUUGUGCAUUUAGUUCCGCAUAUGAUGGUUUUUUUUUUACAUUAAAGAGUAUAUGUGUCUUAAUGCAGUCAGAUUGUAAAAAACAAAAACAAAGAAACUAAGAAUCUUACUAAAAAUCGAUAAUGUCAGUUAUCUGUUUUGUCCAAUAUUGGUAGUACUUUUUUGCCUCUUAUGAUUCCUCUAGCAGAUAAAUAAAAGAAACUUUUGCCAUCCAUGUGUUCUGUGUUAA